AUUGAACGCUGGCGGCAGGCCUAACACAUGCAAGUCGAGCGGCAGCGGAAAGUAGCUUGCUACUUUGCCGGCGAGCGGCGGACGGGUGAGUAAUGUCUGGGAAACUGCCUGAUGGAGGGGGAUAACUACUGGAAACGGUGGCUAAUACCGCAUAACGUCGCAAGACCAAAGUGGGGGACCUUCGGGCCUCACGCCAUCGGAUGUGCCCAGAUGGGAUUAGCUAGUAGGUGGGGUAAUGGCUCACCUAGGCGACGAUCCCUAGCUGGUCUGAGAGGAUGACCAGCCACACUGGAACUGAGACACGGUCCAGACUCCUACGGGAGGCAGCAGUGGGGAAUAUUGCACAAUGGGCGCAAGCCUGAUGCAGCCAUGCCGCGUGUGUGAAGAAGGCCUUCGGGUUGUAAAGCACUUUCAGCGAGGAGGAAGGCAUCAUACUUAAUACGUGUGGUGAUUGACGUUACUCGCAGAAGAAGCACCGGCUAACUCCGUGCCAGCAGCCGCGGUAAUACGGAGGGUGCAAGCGUUAAUCGGAAUUACUGGGCGUAGAGCGCACGCAGGCGGNUUGUUAANUCANAUGUGAAAUCCCCGCGCUUAACGUGGGAACUGCAUUUGAAACUGGCAAGCUANA
rnacentral:rRNA from 1 species